UACGAAGGGGGCUAGCGUUGUUCGGAUUUACUGGGCGUAAAGCGCACGUAGGCGGAUCGAUCAGUCAGGGGUGAAAUCCCAGAGCUCAACUCUGGAACUGCCUUUGAUACUGUCGAUCUGGAGUAUGGAAGAGGUGAGUGGAAUUCCGAGUGUAGAGGUGAAAUUCGUAGAUAUUCGGAGGAACACCAGUGGCGAAGGCGGCUCACUGGUCCAUUACUGACGCUGAGGCGCGAAAGCGUGGGGGAGCAAACAGG
rnacentral:rRNA from 1 species